CAAUGUUGUUUUCAGGUACUUUCUCUGCUGUUUAUGACUUGUAGUUUAGACUUACUAGAUUAAUGUUAUGUCAUUUUUAUCAUUUAACUCUGUCACCAUCCUUGUCUGGGUAGCGUAGGACUACCCUCUAGGAGGAGGAGGACAAGGCUGAUCCAGCACAGCUGUGUUCCUGAGAUCAAUCUAUUCCCUUGCUACCUCAGGCAGCAGCUCUACUGUGGUGCUUUUGAACAGAGGAGGUGGCAGGGGACUAUCAGUUGUUUCAUUCCUCCUUCCCAUGGGUGACAUGGGGAGACUUUGCUCCCCCAGCUCUGAAAAGGAAAGCGGGAUGUCUGCAGAGCAUGGCCUGGGCACAGCUGGUAUUGUAGAUGCUGUGGUAGAGCGAGCACGGAAUAACAAGAGCUAUGAGAGACUCCUCAUAGCUCUUGUCCAAACAGCAUUGCUCCUCAAAGUGUGCUUGGCUGCUAGCUUUCUCUCAAUCAAGAUGUAAUGAUGCACAAGGCUCUGCUGUGUAACCAGAGUGUAAUUAACCAUCCUCCAGAAUGAUGAUUGCACAUUGCUGAAACUACAUACUCCCCUAUCUGAAAACUAAAGCCAGGAAGUAGGAUAUCUGUGACCUACUAAAAUAAAAACCAACAAAUUUACUUCCAACUGAAGUGUGACUUUUAAGUUCAGUGUGAAUCCUCUACUGAUUUAAUGUGGAAAGGGACUAGAUAUUGAUAACAAUGCAAAUAUCAGAAGUAGAUGGAAACAGUGAGAGUAGCUUUAAAUCAUUUAAAAAAAAAAAAAAAAAGCACAUACACUAGUGCUGAAUAAGCUAAUCACCAUAAUAAGGAUGAAGCAGAUUUUUCCAGCAACCUUCCUCCACCAAUUACCGGCAUAUAAUUGCUGGGAGCUUUCUGAUUAGUUAUUCAUCUGAUUACAGCUCAGCAUUAUAGUAAGACCCUUUGCUAUUUUUGUUUGAAAUAACCUUUUCUCUGAAUAUUGCAAGAUCAAUAAGAUGGUUUCCAUGUAUGUCAUCAGCUGCAGCUUUUAUGCUGCAAAAACCAGUAUCGACCGCUUCAGACAUGAAGCAUUGGCUUUGGAGACCUCUAAACCAAAGUGCAAUGGACAAUGGUGAACUUCAGACCCCAAGGAGGGAAAUAUUUAUAGUUCUCCUUUGUUAUGUGAAGGAUUAUUGAUUGACAAAAAGAGGCAAACUCUCCUGAUAUUAAUUCUAGCCACAGCAAUUCUGUUAGAAUAUGGAGUCCAUAUGGAGGGGAGGAAAAAAAAA